rnacentral:rRNA from 1 species
UACGUAGGUGGCGAGCGUUGUCCGGAUUUACUGGGCGUAAAGGGAGCGUAGGCGGACUUUUAAGUGAGAUGUGAAAUACUCGGGCUCAACUUGAGUGCUGCAUUUCAAACUGGAUGUCUAGAGUGCAGGAGAGGAGAAUGGAAUUCCUAGUGUAGCGGUGAAAUGCGUAGAGAUUAGGAAGAACACCAGUGGCGAAGGCGGUUCUCUGGACUGUAACUGACGCUGAGGCUCGAAAGCGUGGGGAGCAAACAGG